rnacentral:rRNA from 1 species
AGCGCAUACGGUGGAUGCCUUGGCAGUCAGAGGCGAUGAAAGACGUGGUAGCCUGCGAAAAGCUUCGGGGAGUCGGCAAACAGACUUUGAUCCGGAGAUGUCUGAAUGGGGGAACCCAGCCAUCAUAAGAUGGUUAUCUUGUACUGAAUACAUAGGUGCAAGAGGCGAACCAGGGGAACUGAAACAUCUAAGUACCCUGAGGAAAAGAAAUCAACCGAGAUUCCCUUAGUAGUGGCGAGCGAACGGGGACUAGCCCUUAAGUGGCUUUGAGAUUAGCGGAACGCUCUGGAAAGUGCGGCCAUAGUGGGUGAUAGCCCUGUACGCGAAAAUCUCUUGGUCAUGAAAUCGAGUAGGACGGAGCACGAGAAACUUUGUCUGAAUAUGGGGGGACCAUCCUCCAAGGCUAAAUACUACUGACUGACCGAUAGUGAACUAGUACCGUGAGGGAAAGGCGAAAAGAACCCCGGAGAGGGGAGUGAAAUAGAUCCUGAAACCGUAUGCGUACAAGCAGUGGGAGCCCACUUUGUUGGGUGACUGCGUACCUUUUGUAUAAUGGGUCAGCGACUUAUUUUCAGUGGCGAGCUUAACCGAAUAGGGGAGGCGUAGCGAAAGCGAGUCUUAAUAGGGCGUCUAGUCGCUGGGAAUAGACCCGAAACCGGGCGAUCUAUCCAUGGGCAGGUUGAAGGUUAGGUAACACUGACUGGAGGACCGAACCGACUACCGUUGAAAAGUUAGCGGAUGACCUGUGGAUCGGAGUGAAAGGCUAAUCAAGCUCGGAGAUAGCUGGUUCUCCUCGAAAGCUAUUUAGGUAGCGCCUCAUGUAUCACUGUAGGGGGUAGAGCACUGUUUCGGCUAGGGGGUCAUCCCGACUUACCAAACCGAUGCAAACUCCGAAUACCUACAAGUGCCGAGCAUGGGAGACACACGGCGGGUGCUAACGUCCGUCGUGAAAAGGGAAACAACCCAGACCGUCAGCUAAGGUCCCAAAGUUAUGGUUAAGUGGGAAACGAUGUGGGAAGGCUUAGACAGCUAGGAGGUUGGCUUAGAAGCAGCCACCCUUUAAAGAAAGCGUAAUAGCUCACUAGUCGAGUCGGCCUGCGCGGAAGAUGUAACGGGGCUCAAACCAUACACCGAAGCUACGGGUAUCACGUAAGUGAUGCGGUAGAGGAGCGUUCUGUAAGCCUGUGAAGGUGAGUUGAGAAGCUUGCUGGAGGUAUCAGAAGUGCGAAUGCUGACAUGAGUAACGACAAUGGGUGUGAAAAACACCCACGCCGAAAGACCAAGGUUUCCUGCGCAACGUUAAUCGACGCAGGGUUAGUCGGUCCCUAAGGCGAGGCUGAAAAGCGUAGUCGAUGGAAAACAGGUUAAUAUUCCUGUACUUCUGGUUAUUGCGAUGGAGGGACGGAGAAGGCUAGGCCAGCUUGGCGUUGGUUGUCCAAGUUUAAGGUGGUAGGCUGAGAUCUUAGGUAAAUCCGGGAUCUUAAGGCCGAGAGCUGAUGACGAGUUACCCUUUGGGUGACGAAGUGGUUGAUGCCAUGCUUCCAAGAAAAGCUUCUAAGCUUCAGGUAACCAGGAACCGUACCCCAAACCGACACAGGUGGUUGGGUAGAGAAUACCAAGGCGCUUGAGAGAACUCGGGUGAAGGAACUAGGCAAAAUGGCACCGUAACUUCGGGAGAAGGUGCGCCGGUGAGGGUGAAGGACUUGCUCCGUAAGCUCAUGCCGGUCGAAGAUACCAGGCCGCUGCGACUGUUUAUUAAAAACACAGCACUCUGCAAACACGAAAGUGGACGUAUAGGGUGUGACGCCUGCCCGGUGCCGGAAGGUUAAUUGAUGGGGUUAGCUAACGCGAAGCUCUUGAUCGAAGCCCCGGUAAACGGCGGCCGUAACUAUAACGGUCCUAAGGUAGCGAAAUUCCUUGUCGGGUAAGUUCCGACCUGCACGAAUGGCGUAACGAUGGCGGCGCUGUCUCCACCCGAGACUCAGUGAAAUUGAAAUCGCUGUGAAGAUGCAGUGUAUCCGCGGCUAGACGGAAAGACCCCGUGAACCUUUACUAUAGCUUUGCACUGGACUUUGAAUUUGCUUGUGUAGGAUAGGUGGGAGGCUUUGAAGCGUGGACGCCAGUUCGCGUGGAGCCAUCCUUGAAAUACCACCCUGGCAACUUUGAGGUUCUAACUCAGGUCCGUUAUCCGGAUCGAGGACAGUGUAUGGUGGGUAGUUUGACUGGGGCGGUCUCCUCCUAAAGAGUAACGGAGGAGUACGAAGGUGCGCUCAGACCGGUCGGAAAUCGGUCGUAGAGUAUAAAGGCAAAAGCGCGCUUGACUGCGAGACAGACACGUCGAGCAGGUACGAAAGUAGGUCUUAGUGAUCCGGUGGUUCUGUAUGGAAGGGCCAUCGCUCAACGGAUAAAAGGUACUCCGGGGAUAACAGGCUGAUACCGCCCAAGAGUUCAUAUCGACGGCGGUGUUUGGCACCUCGAUGUCGGCUCAUCACAUCCUGGGGCUGAAGCCGGUCCCAAGGGUAUGGCUGUUCGCCAUUUAAAGUGGUACGCGAGCUGGGUUUAGAACGUCGUGAGACAGUUCGGUCCCUAUCU